AUUAUUUUAAGUUCUUGGUAAAAGUAUUGUCAUAUUUUGGAAAAAGUUAUGCUUGGAAAUAAUUGUGAAUAUUUUUGGUGAUGUCACGUGGGACACUCUGUUGCAUGCUGGUCAUUUCUUGUGCUUUCCUAGCCAUUGUUGGCGGAAAAUUAUGAGAGUGAAUAUGCAUUAAUGAACCAGAUGAUGUAAUCGCCACAUAUGCUGUAAACGCCACAUAUGCUCCUUACUUAGGAACAUUGUCAACUGAUUUACUUUCUUCAUAAAUGGAAAAAAGGACAUUGAACA